AAGACAAGGCGCAGGCAAACAAUGGAGCGGAUCAGUAUGAUGUAGACACUCUAGCGCAGCAGUCCACCCCAGAUGCUCUCAAGGAACUGGAGUCCAUCGACUCUGCUGUCAAGUGCCCAGCCUCAGUAAAUGUGCCAUAUGUAGUCAAGCUCCUCAAAGUGACAUUUGAAGAGAGGAAAGGCACCGUCUUGGACAAACUUCCAGUCUACUUCUUGAAUGCUGAAUGCAAUGCGAGCUGCACUUCGCCAUGAGUUUUACAAGCAUGAAAGGCGUGUGCACCAGCAUACUGGAGGGCUUCGGCAAGGAUCACGGGAUACGCCAAGCAACACUGAUGGACGUUCAAGCCUUUCUGCGGUCAAGAUCAUCCCGCGAUGAUGCUUUGAGCACGGAAGACGUUCCGACAGUUGAGAGAGGAUGCCCAGGACCGAAAGCCUUUCUGGGGUCCAAAACAAAGGAUAUUC